CGAUAUAGUGGCAGACGGGUGAGUAACGCGUGGAAACGUGCCUUUCACUACGGAAUAGCUUUUGGAAACGAAAGGUAAUACCGUAUACGCCCUCCGGGGGAAAGAUUUAUCGGUGAAAGAUCGGUCCGCGUUAGAUUAGCUAGUUGGUGAGGUAACGGCUCACCAAGGCUACGAUCUAUAGCUGGUCUGAGAGGAUGAUCAGCCACACUGGAACUGAGACACGGUCCAGACUCCUACGGGAGGCAGCAGUGGGGAAUAUUGCACAAUGGGCGCAAGCCUGAUGCAGCCAUGCCGCGUGAAUGAUGAAGGCCUUAGGGUUGUAAAAUUCUUUCGCCAGGGAUGAUAAUGACAGUACCUGGUAAAGAAGCCCCGGCUAACUUCGUGCCAGCAGCCGCGGUAAUACGAAGGGGGCUAGCGUUGUUCGGAAUUACUGGGCGUAAAGCGCACGUAGGCGGACUUUUAAGUCAGAUGUGAAAUCCCGAGGCU
rnacentral:rRNA from 1 species